rnacentral:rRNA from 1 species
AUUGAACGCUGGCGGCAUGCCUUACACAUGCAAGUCGAACGGUAACAGGUCUUCGGAUGCUGACGAGUGGCGAACGGGUGAGUAAUACAUCGGAACGUGCCCGAUCGUGGGGGAUAACGAAGCGAAAGCUUUGCUAAUACCGCAUACGAUCUACGGAUGAAAGCAGGGGACCGCAAGGCCUUGCGCGAACGGAGCGGCCGAUGGCAGAUUAGGUAGUUGGUGGGAUAAAAGCUUACCAAGCCGACGAUCUGUAGCUGGUCUGAGAGGACGACCAGCCACACUGGGACUGAGACACGGCCCAGACUCCUACGGGAGGCAGCAGUGGGGAAUUUUGGACAAUGGGCGAAAGCCUGAUCCAGCCAUGCCGCGUGCAGGAUGAAGGCCCUCGGGUUGUAAACUGCUUUUGUACGGAACGAAAAGACUCUGGUUAAUACCUGGGGUCCAUGACGGUACCGUAAGAAUAAGCACCGGCUAACUACGUGCCAGCAGCCGCGGUAAUACGUAGGGUGCAAGCGUUAAUCGGAAUUACUGGGCGUAAAGCGUGCGCAGGCGGUUAUAUAAGACAGAUGUGAAAUCCCCGGGCUCAACCUGGGAACUGCAUUUGUGACUGUAUAGCUAGAGUACGGCAGAGGGGGAUGGAAUUCCGCGUGUAGCAGUGAAAUGCGUAGAUAUGCGGAGGAACACCGAUGGCGAAGGCAAUCCCCUGGGCCUGUACUGACGCUCAUGCACGAAAGCGUGGGGAGCAAACAGG